UACGUAGGGCGCAAGCGUUGUCCGGAAUUAUUGGGCGUAAAGAGCUCGUAGGCGGCUUGUCACGUCGGAUGUGAAAGCCCGAGGCUUAACCUCGGGUCUGCAUUCGAUACGGGCUAGCUAGAGUGUGGUAGGGGGAGAUCGGAAUUCCUGGUGUAGCGGUGGAAUGCGCAGAUAUCAGGAGGAACACCGGUGGCGGAAGGCGGGUCUCUGGGCCGUAACUGACGCUGAGGAGCGAAAGCAUGGGGAGCGAACAGG
rnacentral:rRNA from 1 species